rnacentral:rRNA from 2 species
UACGUAGGGUGCGAGCGUUGUCCGGAAUUAUUGGGCGUAAAGGGCUCGUAGGCGGUUUGUCACGUCGGGAGUGAAAACUCGGGGCUUAACCCCGAGCCUGCUUCCGAUACGGGCUGACUAGAGGUAUGCAGGGGAGAACGGAAUUCCUGGUGUAGCGGUGAAAUGCGCAGAUAUCAGGAGGAACACCGGUGGCGAAGGCGGUUCUCUGGGCAUUACCUGACGCUGAGGAGCGAAAGUGUGGGGAGCGAACAGG